CUUUGUUGGUGUUUGUUUUGGCGGUCCAUGCAGUGGAGGCAAAGACGUUCGGAGAAGGGGUUGUCUCGAGUUGAGAGAGGUGAAAGAUACAACUGAAGGCUGCUGCGGCUGAGUUAUAUAGAGUGAGUCCUGAUUGGUGCUUCUUCCUGUCUGCCCAUAGCACAGUAUUCAUAACAG